GCGGGGGACAACGUUU
rnacentral:sRNA from 1 species